UUGAUUCCAUUUAACCAAUUCUAGCUCUCAUCUCUAUCUUUUUCCUUUUACGAAAAAACCUUUAGAUUAUAGAUUCUAGAGGACUGGCAACAGCAGGAUUUGUGGGAUCCUAUUACCACUCCAACACCUGUCCCGAUUUUUCACACCUACUAGCUAGUCAGCUUAGCUGAGGUCGCCUCUCUCCACCUGCUGCAUCAUCCCAUCCAACGCCCAUGGGACUGCACUGCGGAGAGGUCUGUGGGAAAAUCUGUGCUUCAAGUGGCAAAGAACAUGAAGCCCAGCUCCGGGAAAGCAGCCUCUUGGGCAGCCCCUACUGCCCCAUUCCCAUCCUGACGUCGUGCUGCGCAUCCCCCCGGACAGCGCCACCUCCAGCACGACGAGAGGAUGCGCGUGCUCGAGUGGUCCAUGAUCAGCACCUGGGGUAGCGAGAGGGGAGCGUGCCACUUCGGAUGAGCUAGUCACUGCCCACCGUGGCACUGCCCAUCAUCCGUGGCACAGCCAAGGGAGCAGAGCGACUACUAACAGCAGAGCCGACGGCUCCUGGCCCAGCCCUUCCACAGCAGAGCAGCAGGGCCAUUACCAAGCCUGCACAUGGCUGAGCUGACCGUGCUAAGGACUGCGUGAGGAGUGACAAGGAGAGCAGCUCCGAGCAGAGUGGCUGGUAUGAGAUGUAGGAGACGGAGACAAAUCUGGGACACCCGGCCAUUCGGAAUGGUUCCAUCCUCCUAGACUGGAGGAGAUCAGCCUCUUCCCCCAGGUGACAGGAGCUUUCAAAUGGAAGUGAGAGUCUUCUUCACACCCUGCUCUAAACUGUGAGUAGUGUCGCUCUUUGGCUGCUCAGCAG